rnacentral:rRNA from 1 species
UACAGAGGGUGCGAGCGUUAAUCGGAAUUACUGGGCGUAAAGCGUGCGCAGGCGGUUCGUUGUGUCGGUGGUGAAAUCCCCGGGCUUAACCUGGGAAUGGCCAUGGAAACUGGCGAACUGGAGUGCGGCAGAGGGGGGUGGAAUUCCGCGUGUAGCAGUGAAAUGCGUAGAGAUGCGGAGGAACACCGAUGGCGAAGGCAGCCCCCUGGGCCAACACUGACGCUCAGGCACGAAAGCGUGGGGAGCAAACAGG